GGGAUAGGGAGGAUAGUAGAGGAGAGAUAUGUACACAACCAGGACAGGGGUUACGGAGGAGAGGAGAGAUAUGGACACAACCAGGAAAGGGGUUAGGGUGGAGAGGAGAGAUAUGGACACAACCAGGACAGGGGAUAGGGUGGAGAGGAGAGAUAUGGACACAACCAGGACAGGGGAUAGGGAGGAGAGGAGAGGAGAGAUAUGGACACAACCAGGACAGGGGAUAGGGAGGAGAGGAGAGAUAUGGACACAACCAGGACAGGGGAUAGGGAGGAGAGGAGAGGAGAGAUAUGGACACAACCAGGACAGGGGUUAGGGAGGAGAGGAGAGAUAUGGACACAACCAGGACAGGGGAUAGGGAGGAGUGGAGAGGAGAGAUAUGGACACAACCAGGACAGGGGAUAGGGAGGAGUGGAGAGGAGAGAUAUGGACACAACCAGGACAGGGGAUAGGGAGGAGUGGAGAGGAGAGAUAUGGACACAACCAGGACAGGGGAUUGUGAGGAGAGGAGAGAUAUGGACACAACCAGGACAGGGGUUAAUGAGGAGAGGAGAUGAGAGAUAUGGACACAACCAGGACAGGGGAUUGUGAGGAGAGGAGAGAUAUGGACACAACCAGGACAGGGGAUAGGAUAGGGAGGACAGUGGAGGAGCAGGACAGGGGAGAUGGAGGCAGCGUGGGGCUGAGGUUCUGUUCCUGUAUGGAUGUCUUCC
ensembl:lncRNA